rnacentral:rRNA from 1 species
UCUGGGACAAGCCCUGGAAACGGGGUCUAAUACCGGAUACGACCACCGACCGCAUGGUCUGGUGGUGGAAAGCUCCGGCGGUGAAGGAUGAGCCCGCGGCCUAUCAGCUUGUUGGUGGGGUGAUGGCCUACCAAGGCGACGACGGGUAGCCGGCCUGAGAGGGCGACCGGCCACACUGGGACUGAGACACGGCCCAGACUCCUACGGGAGGCAGCAGUGGGGAAUAUUGCACAAUGGGCGAAAGCCUGAUGCAGCGACGCCGCGUGAGGGAUGACGGCCUUCGGGUUGUAAACCUCUUUCAGCAGGGAAGAAGCGAGAGUGACGGUACCUGCAGAAGAAGCGCCGGCUAACUACGUGCCAGCAGCCGCGGUAAUACGUAGGGCGCAAGCGUUGUCCGGAAUUAUUGGGCGUAAAGAGCUCGUAGGCGGCUUGUCACGUCGGAUGUGAAAGCCCGGGGCUUAACCCCGGGUCUGCAUUCGAUACGGGCAGGCUAGAGUUCGGUAGGGGAGAUCGGAAUUCCUGGUGUAGCGGUGAAAUGCGCAGAUAUCAGGAGGAACACCGGUGGCGAAGGCGGAUCUCUGGGCCGAUACUGACGCUGAGGAGCGAAAGCGUGGGGAGCGAACAGGAUUAGAUACCCUGGUAGUCCACGCCGUAAACGUUGGGAACUAGGUGUGGGCGACAUUCCACGUCGUCCGUGCCGCAGCUAACGCAUUAAGUUCCCCGCCUGG